ensembl:lncRNA SOCAR serous ovarian cancer associated RNA
AUUGACAAGGAAAGGCCAUGUUAUGUUCACCCUGGGUUAAGUUUUAAGUGUAUCUUAUUUAAUUUUUUUCAAUAUGAGUCAUCUCCAGAUACUGUGAUGAUUUCCAAAUAACCAGAAUCUAGAUGACUAGAAAUUUACUCUAGCUGGCUUUAGACAGGAAGCGUGAGGACAGAAUCCAGCUGCUUCCACUCCAGGGUAGGUCUGAAGCCAACCGUCCUCGGUUUCCUGGCCUGUGGCAUCAGUCUGGUUGGAUUACACACAAAGCCCUGCAGAUCUGCUGCUUUUCCUGAUUCUCCUGUCCUGAGUGAGUGCAAGGGGCUCCCCUGUCGUCGAUGUGUUCUUUGAAGCAGAUGCUGUGCCUGAUACCUGCUGGAGAGUCCCACCGCCUUGAGCUUCUGGGUCGAGAAAGGCCAAGUUGCACACUACUGAGAGACUGCCAUGCACCCCCUGGAGGCCUCAGAACAUUCGACAUGCUUCAGUCAUGGCCACGGCAGUGACUGCUGAUUGCCUAACCCCACAUGUGUUCUCCCCCUUCCCUGAUAAUCAAGCCCCUGAUUUUCAGCUGGGCACAAAAUAAUUCUUCCUAGAACAACUCCAUGUGUGUUAUCGCCCUUGCAGCUGGGGGUGGCCACCACUGGGGAGAGGCAGGGUGAAGAGGUGGAAGGAGCCUGAGUUAGCAGGGAUGAGCAGUGGCCAGGUAACCCCAGACCCACUAUCCUCUGGAUUUCUUUUAUGUGAAACAAUAAAAUGUCUUGUAUUCGAGCCUU